rnacentral:rRNA from 1 species
BUCCGGUUGGAUCUCCGGRGGCCVUUGCUAUCGGAGUCCGAUUUAGCCAUGCUAGUCGCACGAAUUCAGAUUCGUGGCAUAUAGCUCAGUAACACGUGGCCAAACUACCCUACAGACCGCGAUAACCUCGGGAAACUGAGGCCAAUAGCGGAUAUCACUCUCACGCUGGAGUGCCGAGAGUGAGAAACGUUCCGGCGCUGUAGGAUGUGGCUGCGGCCGAUUAGGUAGAUGGUGGGGUAACGGCCCACCAUGCCCAUAAUCGGUAUAGGUUGUGAGAGCAAGAGCCUAGAGACGGUAUCUGAGACAAGAUACCGGGCCCUACGGGGCGCAGCAGGCGCGAAACCUUUACACUGCACGAGAGUGCRAUAGGGGGACUCCGAGUGCGAGGGCAUAUAGUCCUCGCUUUUCUGAACCGUAAGGUGGUUCAGGAACAAGUGCUGGGCAAGACCGGUGCCAGCCGCCGCGGUAAUACCGGCAGCACGAGUGAUGGCCGAUAUUAUUGGGCCUAAAGCGUCCGUAGCUUGCUGUGUAAGUCCAUUGGGAAAUCGACGCGCUCAACGCGUCGWCGUCCGGUGGAAACUGCAGAGCUUGGGGCCGAGAGACUCGACGGGUACGUCCGGGGUAGGAGUGAAAUCCCGUAAUCCUGGACGGACCACCAAUGGGGAAACCACGUCGAGAGACCGGACCCGACAGUGAGGGACGAAAGCCAGGGUCUCGAACCGGAUUAGAUACCCGGGUAGUCCUGGCUGUAAACGAUGCUCGCUAGGUAUGUCACGCGCCAUGAGCACGUGAUGUGCCGUAGUGAAGACG